rnacentral:rRNA from 1 species
UACGAAGGGUGCAAGCGUUAUCCGGAUUCAUUGGGUUUAAAGGGUGCGUAGGCGGAACAAUAAGUCAGCGGUGAAAGCCUGCAGCUUAACUGUAGAAUUGCCGUUGAUACUGUUGUUCUUGAGUACGUUUGACGUGGGCGGAAUGUGCCGUGUAGCGGUGAAAUGCUUAGAUAUGGCACAGAACACCGAUAGUGAAGACAGCUCACGAAGACGAAACUGACGCUGAGGCACGAAAGCGUGGGGAGCGAACAGG